rnacentral:lncRNA from 1 species
AUUAAAAAAAAAGUUUGAUGAUGAACAUCAUUUCCAUGGGUGGGAAUGAUUUGGGCCAUGAUCAAAGUGAUUAUUAUUGAAACAUAUUUUCUUUCUUUAUAUCACAAAGGAUAUGGAGGGGUAGUCUCAACUUUCUGUCAAAAUGGGGAAUUGGAUAACUGUAAUAAUGUCGUUUUAUCUAGUACUAAUUUUUGUUUGAUUGAUAAGCAUAAUAGUGUUAAGCCAUUCUAUUCUACACGAAAAAAUGUUGAUAGCAAAUUUAUGCAAAAUUGAGCUUU